GAUGAACGCUGGCGGCGUGCCUAAUACAUGCAAGUCGAGCGAACGGACGAGAAGCUUGCUUCUCUGAUGUUAGCGGCGGACGGGUGAGUAACACGUGUAUAACCUACUUAUAAUACUGGGAUAACUUCGGGAAACCGGAUCUAAUACCGUAUAAUAUUAUGAACCGCAUGGUUCAAAAGUGAAUUACGGUCUUGCUGUCACUUAUAGAUGGAUCCGCGCUGCAUUAGCUAGUUGGUAAGGUAACGGCUUACCAAGGCAACGAUGCAUAGCCGAGCUGAGAGGGUGAUCGGCCACACUGGAACUGAGACACGGUCCAGACUCCUACGGGAGGCAGCAGUAGGGAAUCUUACGCAAUGGGCGAAAGCCUGACGGAGCAACGCCGAGUGAGUGAUGAAGGUCUUCGGAUCGUAAAACUCUGUUAUUAGGGAAGAACAUAUGUGUAAGUAAAUGUGCACAUCUUGACGGUACCUAAUAAGAAAGCAACGGCUAACUACGUG
rnacentral:rRNA from 1 species